AAGUUCCUGCUGUGUGCGUGCUGCUCUUUGAAGCUUCACGGCCCAUUAAACCCACAUCUCUAAUAAGGGAUGCCGAUCUUGAAUCUGCGGAUUGCAGGCCUCCCGGCUCAUACCCGGACGUUGGAAGCAGCGAAACAGAACUUAGGCGACCCACCUGCCCUUUCGUGCAGGUUAUAAUCGGGCCGACACGGCAUUUGCGGGACGGCU
rnacentral:other from 1 species